rnacentral:rRNA from 2 species
AGUAACACGUGGGAAACCUGCCCAGAAGCGGGGGAUAACACCUGGAAACAGAUGCUAAUACCGCAUAACAACUUGGACCGCAUGGUCCGAGUUUGAAAGAUGGCUUCGGCUAUCACUUUUGGAUGGUCCCGCGGCGUAUUAGCUAGAUGGUGAGGUAACGGCUCACCAUGGCAAUGAUACGUAGCCGACCUGAGAGGGUAAUCGGCCACAUUGGGACUGAGACACGGCCCAAACUCCUACGGGAGGCAGCAGUAGGGAAUCUUCCACAAUGGACGAAAGUCUGAUGGAGCAACGCCGCGUGAGUGAAGAAGGGUUUCGGCUCGUAAAACUCUGUUGUUAAAGAAGAACAUAUCUGAGAGUAACUGUUCAGGUAUUGACGGUAUUUAACCAGAAAGCCACGGCUAACUACGUGCCAGCAGCCGCGGUAAUACGUAGGUGGCAAGCGUUGUCCGGAUUUAUUGGGCGUAAAGCGAGCGCAGGCGGUUUUUUAAGUCUGAUGUGAAAGCCUUCGGCUCAACCGAAGAAGUGCAUCGGAAACUGGGAAACUUGAGUGCAGAAGAGGACAGUGGAACUCCUG